rnacentral:rRNA from 1 species
UGGGGAAUUUUGGACAAUUGGGCGAAAGCCUGAUCCAGCAAUGCCGCGUGUGUGAAGAAGGCCUUCGGGUUGUAAAGCACUUUUGUCCGGAAAGAAAUCCUUGGCUCUAAUACAGUCGGGGGAUGACGGUACCGGAAGAAUAAGCACCGGCUAACUACGUGCCAGCAGCCGCGGUAAUACGUAGGGUGCAAGCGUUAAUCGGAAUUACUGGGCGUAAAGCGUGCGCAGGCGGUUGCUAAGACCCGAUGUGAAAUCCCCGGGCUCAACCUGGGAACUGCAUUGGUGACUGGCAGGCUAGAGUAUGGCAGAGGGGGGUAGAAUUCCACGUGUAGCAGUGAAAUGCGUAGAGAUGUGGAGGAAUACCGAUGGCGAAGGCAGCCCCCUGGGCCAAUACUGACGCUCAUGCACGAAAGCGUGGGGAGCAAACAGGAUUAGAUACCCUGGUAGUCCACGCCCUAAACGAUGUCAACUAGUUGUUGGGGACUUCAUUUCCUUAGUAACGUAGCUAACGCGUGAAGUUGACCGCCUGGGGAGUACGUCGCAAGAUUAAACUUAAUG